UACGUAGGGUGCAAGCGUUAAUCGGAAUUACUGGGCGUAAAGCGUGCGCAGGCGGUUUUGUAAGUCAGAUGUGAAAUCCCCGGGCUUAACCUGGGAACUGCGUUUGAAACUACAAGGCUAGAGUGUGGCAGAGGGGGGUGGAAUUCCACGUGUAGCAGUGAAAUGCGUAGAGAUGUGGAGGAACACCGAUGGCGAAGGCAGCCCCCUGGGUCAAGAUUGACGCUCAUGCACGAAAGCGUGGGGAGCAAACAGG
rnacentral:rRNA from 1 species